CUGCUUAAACUGUUAAAGGAGUGGUUACGUAAGUUUUAUGCUUUCGACAGUUUCGUUAAGACUGACGUGAUUAUUUUUUGAGUAGUUUGAAUAAGCAACUAUAUACUCAGUAUAAAGCUAAGCUACUACUAUAAGUGAUUCAACAAGGUCUGACUGAAAGAAAAUGAAAACUAGGCCCAAAUCAUCUGGUGGAAUCCAUAGAAGACCUGUUUCUGCAGAAAAGAAAACUUCCAGAAAGGUGGCUUCAACAACACGCUUGAUAAAGCAAUCAAGAGGUGCUUUGAAAAGCAACAGACCUACAGAAAAUAGGCCUAGACCUUCUGGACCUAGAUCUAGGUCUCCUUUGAGAAGAAAACAUCCUGAUGCUUCUAGAUCUAGGCCAAGUCCAAAAAGAAGACGUUCAUUCAGUCCUCCUUAUUCUGGCUCAGCUGGUAAACUUUCAGGACCUCCUUUGGACAGAGCAGUAGGAGCUAGGCGUGAAAACAUUGUUGAAAGGCGUAGAGCCUCUCACUCACCUGUUGCCCAAAAAAGGGCAUCUAGUCAUCUCUCAGCACAACGCAGUGGAAAAGAUCUAGCACAUUCUUCAAGAGGAGACGUCUCCCGUGUUAAAGAUCGUAAUUUUAGGGGUGUGGAUGAAAAGCACAAUUUUGGACAUUUAGAUCAUCGUCGUGAAAGAGGAAAAAAUUUUCAAAGAAGAAGUAGUUCUUAUUCAAGGGAAUUAGAGCAAAGACAGAAAACUGUUCGUAGUUUCAGUGGAGAUCGGCGUGAGAUUGAAUCUCAUGGUACACGAGAUAUUGAUGAACGACAUGAUGUUUCAGCUUACCAUCAGAAAGACAUAUACUCUUCAGGGACAACUAGUCAACGCAAAGGGUUUGAUACAAAUCAAGGAUAUGGAAGAAUUGACUCAGCAGUUGGAAUUUACUCUAGAGAAAGUGGUGGUAUGGAUAGCAGGGGUUACCAUUCAACUGAGCAGAGGUCCUCCAACACUACAUUAAGUGAAAGAUUCCGUUCCAUAAAUAAUGAAACAAGUAGAAACUUGGAACCAAGAAUGGUUUACACACAAGAAGAUUUAGAGAAGAUUACUGUUGGAAUACACAGAAAUGUCAGAGAACCUUCUCCAACUGUUCGCUGUAUUGUAAAUCCAGAUGAAGUGAGAUUUGCACGUCGACCUGAAGAAGGAUCUCGGCCAAUUUUUGACCGUGAAGAAAUCAAAUUGGCUGCAGUGGAUUUGCGAGAUGAUGCUUAUUUUGAGAGAAGAGUUGUAGCUGUUGUAAAAUCUGAAGAAAAACAUGCAUCUUCACCAAAGAAGGAGAGACUUCCUUCUAAAGGAAACAUUUAUGAAAAGUCUAGACCAAACUACCAAACCUAUCGAUAUGGUAAUAAUGGAAAUAGUGUGCCUAUGCACAAUGAAAGAUGGCAAGAUCAUUCUGUGAGGAGGGGAGAUUCAUCAUUUAAUGUGGAUCGGCAACAUUUUAAUCAGGAUGUGUUGAGGGAGCGAGAAGGUACUCACUCGUAUGAUAGAGAACGGAGUGGAGACUAUUAUGGCAGCAGUGACUUGCGUCAGCCAAUAUCCAUGGAUCCUUUUGGUGGUAAUCAAGAUUCUGAAAGAAGAUUUCUUAGUGAACGUGAAUUGCAUAGAGGACGUGACAUUGGUGGUCCCAGGCCAGAGGACUUUGGUAGAAAUCAGGGACCACCACCUUUCUGUCAAGUCCCAACUGACUUGAGAUCCAAUAUUUCCGGAAGACGUAAAGAUAACAGCAGCACCACUGAUGCCAGACAGCGAAUUCUAGAACGUCGUGGAGAACAACUUGGUAAACGAGAAUCUCGUAGCAAGCAGCGGUCUUAUGAAUCAGAACGUAAAAAUUUAGACAUCAGUAGUGGCAGAUUCAGAGAAGAAAGAGGAGCCUUUGUAGGUAGCCGUGGUCCAAUGCAUAGUAGAUACCACAACAGGGAACGAUCUCCAAAAGACAAACUACCUAAUUUCUCACAACGACCUGACCGCUUCAAAGUACAGCCAUGGAUGGAAAAACCUGAUUCCACACCUAAAGAACCAAGUUACUUUGAGCAUGAUGACCGUGGGGAGUCUAGCAGAGGAAGGUUCCGAGGAGUUGGAAGAGGUUUUAGAAGUCUAGGGAUUAGAGGUCGUUUUUUUCGAGGUGGUUUUAGAGGCAGUUUGAGAGGGCGAGGUGGAUUCAGAGGAAGAAUUUUUAGAGGUCGAGGAUUUCUCUCCAAGAGUAGGAGGUAGAGGGUCCCCCAGCCACUGGGAACAUGAUAUGUUUCACAAAAUGUCACCAGAAGAAAAGAAUGCAUAAGAAGGCUGGAGAAAUUUCAACACAACCUGGUUGUUUAUACCUUAUUUGGCAAUAGUGUUUUGUCCAUGACUGUUUGAUAUUAGAUGUAAGCUAAAGUGUCUUUUAAUUUCAUGAUUUCAGAAACAUAUACAUAUUGCUGUCUUAUUUGUGAAACAGUAGGAAUGUACUACAUAGAAGUAGUAAUAAAAUACAUAAAAGUUUA